rnacentral:rRNA from 1 species
UGGGUAGUCCGCACGAGCGCACCUUGCCCUAUGUUGCCAGCGGUUCGGCCGGGGACUCAUAGGGAACUGCCGGUGAUAAACCGGAGGAAGGUGGGGACGACGUCAAGUCAUCAUGGCCCUUACGCUUGGGGCUACACACGUGCUACAAUGGCCAGCACAAAGGGCUGCCAACCUGCGAAGGUGAGCGAAUCCCAAAAAGCUGGUCUAAGUUCGGAUUGCAGUCUGCAACUCGACUGCAUGAAGUCGGAAUCGCUAGUAAUCGUAGAUCAGCAAUGCUACGGUGAAUACGUUCCCGGGCCUUGUACACACCGCCCGUCACGCCAUGGAAGCCGGGAGUGCCCGAAGUCCGUGUCCUAACCCUUGGGAGGGAGCGGCCGAAGGCAAAUUCGGUAACUGGGGCGAAGUCGUAACAAGGUAGCCGUAGGGGAACCUGCGGCUGGAUCACCUCCUUUCU